UAAGCUGCCUUCAGACAACAUGCAUCAAAAAGGGUUGGUGGUUUGUCAACUUGUUAAGUUGGUGUUAAUAGGGAUUAUGGGCCUCAUCAUUGAACAGUACAUUAAUCUAGUUGUCCAGAAUCCUCAACAAUCUCUAAAAGGGUCUGGAACGCCAGGGAGCUUUAAGGCUACCAAUACCAACUUUGUAUGUCCUGUUGCAUUUUCCAUUUGUGGAAGUAUGUUCGUUUAUUGAAAGAUAUUUCUCUUUAAUGGUCCUUUGGGUAUGAUAAUCAGCAUGCCGGGCGCAGGUAGGUUUUUACUAACUUAGCUCUGUUUGCAGUAACCAGCCUGGAAGCAAUAGCAAGAUGAUGUAAGAAACAUUCUUGCAGGAUACCUUCUUUGCCGUAAGAAAUUUGGGGCAACAUGCAUCAUUUUGCUUUAUUCACUGAAUAAUUGUUCCACAGAGGUUUUGAGAUCAUUCAUGCAGAACUUAAAUUUCAGGUUCAGGAAUACACCCAAAUAUGGAUUGUGCAUGUAUUUUACAGGUAGUGGGACCAGAUAUGUAUGAAAAUUGCUUUGUACUAUAGAUGAGGAAUGUUAUGGUUGCUUGAAGACUUGUAACAAGACACAAAAAGCAAUAAUGAAAUGCUGCAACAAACAUUUUUGCAGGAUGCCAUGUUUGCUGCUAGAAAUGUUGGAGCAACAGAUGGAGACCAACACUUCAGGUUUAGGAAUAUGCAAAGUUUGUAUGCAUGCAUGUACAUUUACAGGUGGUAGAGACCAAAAAUAAAAGUUGCUUAAUAU